AGUUGAUGAACUUGUACAAGUAUUUAUUUUGAAAGUAAAAAAAAGAAACUUAGAAUUUCUAUUAACUU
rnacentral:tRNA from 1 species